rnacentral:miRNA from 1 species
GACAAGAUCUCAGGGAAUCAUCUCUUUCAGAUUUCUGCCUUUCUUUCCCAUGACGACUAGG